rnacentral:rRNA from 1 species
AUGGCGCGGUGGCCAGCCGCCGCGGCGGCGUUUGCGCUCGGGGCGGCGCUCAUGGGCAUGCUGGCGGUCACCGCCGACGGGAGAGGCAGCAACACCAACAGCAAGUUCACGUGCACGGACACGGAGAAGAAGCGGCCGGGGUGCACGGGCACCUACCCCGACAGGUGCCCCCAGAGCUGCAUCUCGCUCUGCCCCUCGUGCCAAACAUAUUGCCCUUUUAAGGUGCGUCUUGUGCAUGCAGCUGACCAAGUGCAGCCAGUGCGGCCGGCAUUGUUUGUGUUCGGGGAGGGGUUUACGGACGUCGGCAACAACAACUACCUAGAGAACAACGAGGUAGGGAACCCCGUAAGAGCAAAUCACUCCUACUAUGGCAUAGACUUCCCCAAUUCCGUGGCCACCGGAAGAUUCAGCAACGGAUUCAACUUGGCUGACUUCAUCGGAGAAAUUGUUUUACUUUACCGACCAAAGGCUAUGGGAUUCGAGAUGAGCCCUCCCACAAAAAUGGAGGCUGGUUUUGCUGGAGUCAACUAUGCUUCGGCGACCUCUGGGAUUUGGAGAGACAUCGACACCGGACUGGACAUCCCACUGAUGGUGAUGGACCAAGUGAAGAACUUCGCGGACACGAUAGGGCAGAUGGGCGCCAACCGUAGCCCGCAAGACCUGAGCAAGAUGUUGUCCAAUUCCCUCUUCCUCAUCAGCACCGGCACCACCGACCUCUACUUAAUCUACAACAUCAACAACAAUGGGGGCUCGGACAGCAAAACCGAUGUCCCACACCUCAUCUCCUCCUACGGCGACAACAUCAUGACCUUGUACAACUUGGGCGCGAGGAAGUUCGGUAUCAUCAACGUCCCGACCUUGUGCACGGCGGUGGUGCGCCAUGGCUGUGAGGGCCUCAUUACCAGCCUCCGGGAGGAGUUCAACGAUGGCAUCAAGCCACUCAUGGCCGGCCUCGCCUCCAACCUCAGUGGCCUCCGCUACUCCAUUGCCGACUUUCACGCCUUCUCGGAUGCAGUCAACAUGAGUCCGUCGGCCUACAGGUUUGUGAACACCGGGGGCGCGUGCUGCCAAGGCUCCUGCGCACCUGGUUCUGGGCUGCCGUGUGCCAACCGCUCUCAGUACUGGUACUGGUAUUGGAACGAGGAGUACCCGACGGAGCAGGCCGCUAAGCUGGCCGCAUCUGCGUUUUUCAAUGGCACAACCCAAUUCACAACGCCGGUGAACUUCAAGACGCUGAUCAGCCAAAAGUGA